rfam:Sorghum bicolor cultivar BTx623 chromosome 2, whole genome shotgun sequence.
UCGUACCACGAACCGGUGCUAAAGGGUCCUGUCCAACGGCUACUAGGUGCUGUCGGGGCAGAGACCCUUUAGCACCGGUUCGUGUUACCAA